AUCACUUACAAUAGUGCAGCACACUCUGAAAACUUGACUUGUAUUUCUCAAUAGGUGGAGCAAUGUCUAAUUUCAUUUAAAGGUGCACUAUGUAAUAUUGACAGCUAGUGGGUUAAAAUGAGAACAAGAGCAACUGACAAUGGAAGACGACGAGCUGAAUGCUGUAAGCUGGUCAUGGGGGCAGCAGUCUAAGCAGAGACGCCAAGACUUUCCUCUCCCUAGACACUUCCUCCAGCUCUUCCGGGAGGAUACCGAGGCGUUCCCAGGCCAGCCGAGAGACAUAGUCCCUCCAGCGUGUCCUUGGUCUUCCCUGAGGCCUCCUCCUAUGGGACGUGCCCAGAACAGCUCCCCAGGAAGGCAUCCAGGAGGCAUCCGUAACAGAUGCCUGAGCCACCUAAGCUGGCUCCUCUUAAUGUGACAGAGAAAGCUCAUUCCUGCUGCCUGUGUCUGGGAUCUUGUCCUUUGGUCAUGACCCACAGCUCAUGACCAAAGGACGUCGAGAGCUUCGCCUCCUUCUUUACCAUGACAGACAGGUACAUCGACCGCAUCACUGCAGUAGCUGCACCGAUCCACCUGUCAGUCUCCCGCUCCAUCCUUUCCUCACUUGUGAACAAGAACCCAAGAUACUUGAACUCCUCCACUUGAGGCAGGAGCUCUCCAACAACCUGAAGGGGACAUGCCACCCUUUUCCGGCUGAGAACCAUGGACUCAUCCCAACUGCUUCACUGCCGGAGAGAGAUGUCAGCGCUACUGAUGUGGAGCCUGAUGCCGCUGCUGUCAUCUGUCCCGGGAUGGAAAUGGGAUCUGGAGAUAUACUAAGAGUCUUCAUCUGCCCAAGAUCUUCUAGUUUACUGCAGUGUACCUCUCCUUCAAAAUUUGCAACAUCUGUGGCAUUGUGCUGUAUGAUAAAACGGCACAUUUUAGAGUGGCCUUUUAUUGUGGCCAGCCUAAGGCACACCAACACUGCCUAAAUCACUAGUUACUGUUUUUAUAUCUUCCCCCAUGAUAUGUCAGCUCCUUAAUAUUAUUUGUAAAGAAAGAGUUCUGGAUUUUUAGAUAGUUUAGUGGCCUACACAUAGCAGCACCAGAAAAGCAAAACGGCUUCUGUGUUCAAUAUAUGUGUGCAUUUGAUGGCAUUGAGCUAUAUUGAAUUUAGAAGUAGUGCUGGGUGUUAACUGAUUACAUGUAAUCUGGAUACAUAAUCAAGUGCUCGUAAUUACAGUAAAUUACAUUUUAAAAGGCUAAUAAUCAGAUUACGGUUACCUUUUUAUGGAUUACAUGAUUUAAUUAUUAGCUUUUGAUCUCUAACACACCCACUACAGUUCUUUAAGACCAGUUUGGGAAACUCCAGUGCAAUCUAAUAGUAAUGGUAACAGCAUGUAUUUACAGUGUAAUGCAAUAUAACUUUUACAUUCAACCGACAAGACAACAAUGCAUAAUUCAAAAUAUAAGAAAAGACAGGUGAAAAAAAAAAAAAAAAAAAAACCUUCAUAUUACACUGUGCUUUAUUUUAUUUUCUUUUUUAUAUAGUGCAUGCACAGACUUUGUUGUCAAAAAAAUUGGCAUGGAAUUGCAAUAAGCUUUUUACCUUUUAAAUAUAUAUUUUUUGCAACUAUUUUCAGAGUUCUGUAGACUAUUCUUUCAUCUGAUGUUGCUUAUUGUAUGAAAAUCAUUUCAUUUGAAUACACAUUUUCAAAAGGGCUUGGUGGUUGAUUUUCAAAGGAGUGAUGGAGUUUAUCGGUGGUCUCUCUCAUUUACCUUCAAGGCCACACAUGACCUAAUUAUCUGAUUGAUCGAAUACCAUUUAAAUAACAAUCUUUUAUUUGUGAAGUAAUGCUGAAAUUCAAUUUACUGGUUGCGUUCUUUUGUUGUUGUCAUCACUAUGGCCACAAGAUGGAGAUCUUGUAUUUGUGUUCAGAGUCAUGCGUGACCUAUGCAAAUUUGCUAUUGGUCUGCUAGGAAAGUGUAAAUAUAUAUAAGUCCAUGCAUUUGCUAAAUCACAGGGACAUAAAUUCAAUGCAUAUAAAUUUAGACUGAUAUAAAGCUAGUGAUGCACGCACAUUUUAAAGCUGAAUAGAUUUAUGAGAGAAGUUCACGCUCAGAGAUGCAUGCUAUAAUAAGUUUGUGAGAAAUACGAGGCUAUGUAAUUUUCUAUGUCAUUAUCAUGUGUUAUGAAUCACAAAAGACUGCAUUAAUCAGGGUUUCAGGUUCUAUUUGAUGGAGUUCUUGUAUUCACAGGCCAUAUGAUGAUACUGUAUGUGCAUGAGUCAUCUUUAAUCUCUCUGCAUGUGCCUGCAGGUAAAUGCCGGUCCAUAUGUGCCACAUAAUCACCCAAGGUUUAGAUCUAAAGUAUGGUGCCAUUCAAACACAGCUUUGUUCUUAAAGUUGAACUCCUAAAUAGUGCUGGAGAAAAUCACCGCUUAUCAAAUUACUCACCCAGGGAUUUGUCAAGUGUGUUCAGAGGUCAUGUACUUGUAGUUAAACACUGAGCUAUAUGCUUUAUAUAUAACAAUAUGUAAAUUAAUUCAUGAGGUGUUAAAUGCACAAAACACAUGCAGAAGCAUGUGACCUCUGAUAACACUACAAAUCCCAAGUGAGUAUUUAAUUUGAUAAGCAGCAAAAUAAUUAUACAUUGGCAGUCAAAAGUUUGGAAUAAUUUUUAUUUUUAAUGUUUAACUAUUUUAUGCUCACCAAGGUUGCUUUAUUUGAUCAGAAAUACAGUAAAAUACUAUAAUAUUUUGAAAUAUUUUUACAAUUAAAAAAAAACUAUUUUCUGUUUGUAUAUAUUUUAAAAUGUAAUUUAUUCCUCUGAUCAAAGCAGAAUUUUUUUUAGCAUCAUUCCUCCAGUCUUCAGUGUCACAUGAUCCUUCAGAAAUCGUUCUAAUAUACUGAUUUGCUGAUCAAGAAAAUGUCUUAUUAUUAUCAGUGUUGAAAACAGUUAUGCUGCUCAGAAUGGUUCAGACUAUUCACAUAUACCAUAUUUAUCUCUUUGAUUUUAAUGGAGAUGAAAGCUGAGAUAUGGUGUGAGGCAGUUCUCUGUUGAUGAUGAUUGAAAGUGUUGGUUGGUGGAAUAUUUUGCCAUAGAUUGCUGCUUUUAGAUUUUGAGAUGAGGGUUUAUGGUAUGUGGUAAUACUGUAUAGACCUAAAAAGUAUUUUCCAAACAAGCUGAAUGACUGGCACAUAUACAUCUUGUAUUGUGUGUAUGCACAUUUUUUAUUCCUGUAUUGAUUUUUCUCCUCUCAUACUGAGAAACAUGUGCAUCAGCUUAACCGUAAUGUUGGAAAACAUUAUGUUGGCUCUUUGCAAUUUUGUGUUUUAUGCCAAUCAAUAUCCUCUAUGAGUAUAAUGUGUAUGAAUUAGCCUUUCAUAUGACCAUAAAUGAUGUAGCUCACUGAAAAGCAAGAAAGGCACUGAGAUUAUUUACUAUAUAUUUUAAUUUUAAUUUAAUUUUUUUUACAAAAACAUAUUUAAAAUAUUUCAGUUUUACAACAUCAC